GACAAACAAGAACGGCGACGGAUCAGAAUAGCGCUAAGCGCCUCCGACGACCGAUUGUUGCCGUGCAGCGGGACCCUGUGUUUCCCGGGGGCUCCUCUACUGUGACGCCUUACCCACGAUGCCUUUUAUGUUGGGAGGACGCCGAUGCCAGGAUGGGAGGCAGAGAGGACCUGGGAUUUGAGCAGGACAUAUUGUGCAGACUGGAACAGUUAUGCCAUAACAUCCCAGAGAAGGUGGAGGGAGAGGAAUGCUGACAUCUCUCACCUGCUGACAGCUUGACAUCUCCACUGGGCCAAAGUGAGUUUUGUGCAGGCACCGCUGUGGCCGGCCUGAGAUUUCGUCGGGUCCUCACAGAGGAGAGGAGAAGCCAACUUCAUGUCGGCUCCAUCGGCCAGCGGAUCCACUGACAAAUGAACUAACGUGACCGAGCGGUACACAUGUUUGGCGGCAUUGUUUACUCUUGUGGUCGAUGUCGCGAUUUUUAUGGAUGCGGUGUCUCUCUCGGACAGAUGACUUCAAUUACGAGUAUUUCGGGCUUCUCGUUGUUCCGAGGACGUUCUCUGUGUUGUCCAAAUUGUUUUGCUAUUUUUCUUCCCCCUGGUUGAGACAAAGCUUUUGUUCGCUUUGUUGUGACACCCAGGGAAAGUCAGUUGGCGUUAAGGCUGCCAAUUAGUGGCGCACAUGAAUGUCCUAACGAGACCUCGGGAGCCCGGGUGGGGGAGGGCUUGAUUAUGGCGCCGAACUGACACAGACCCAACAUCCUGAUGAUGACGGCUGUGCAGCUGUGGGCGACACGCACGCACCGCCCAGCCUGCGGACUUGAUCAAAGGACCGUCGACCGAGAGCGGGAAGUGCGGCCGGUUCCACUGGACUUGCAGAGCACCCUAUGGUUUCCAUGCUCCAAAUAUAAUAAUAAACACCAGGACGGAAACGGUCAACAAUGGUGAUUGGUGUAGCGUCCUUUUUCCCAGAGAAGCGGCCUCUGUUUAUUUGUUUCCAUAUUGUGAAACAACUCUCAAAUAAAGUAUAUGAUUUAAAUUAAAAUACUCCAGUCACUAAUCCUGGAUAACAGCCUGAGAACAGCUAACGGCUGUGAUCUGCGGGCCAGAUCGUCUUAUUUGGGAUCAUGGCGAAUGCAGUUCGAUGAAAAGUAAUGGCCAGAUACUGUGAAAUGUGAGAGCGUGUUAACAACAAGGUUCAUUAUCUUGAAAAUGCACAUCCUUUA